AGACCACUAGAUCACCUCUUUCCGCGGCCUCGCUAUGGCUACUUACGAACAGAGCUGCGCGCAGCCAAUGUGUACUCCUCCAUCAUAUGCUGACCUUGGCAAAGCUGCCAGAGGUAUUUUCAACAAAGGAUUUGGUUUGGGGUUGGUGAAAUUGGAUGUGAAAACAAAGUCAUGCAGUGGUGUGGAAUUCUCAACAUCAGGUUCAUCUAAUACAGACACUGGUAAAGUUACUGGGACCUUGGAGACCAAAUAUAAAUGGUGUGAGUAUGGCCUGACUUUCACAGAGAAAUGGAACACUGAUAACACUCUGGGAACAGAAAUCGCAAUUGAAGACCAGAUUUGUCAAGGUUUGAAGCUGACAUUUGAUACCACCUUUUCACCAAACACAGGAAAGAAAAGUGGUAAAAUGAAGUCUUCUUACAAGAGGGAGUGUAUAAACCUUGGUUGUGAUGUUGACUUUGAUUUUGCUGGACCUGCAAUCCAUGGGUCAGCUGUCUUUGGUUAUGAGGGCUGGCUUGCUGGGUACCAAAUGACCUUUGACAGUGCCAAAUCAAAGCUGACCAGGAAUAACUUUGCAGUGGGCUACAGAACUGGAGACUUCCAGCUACACACUAAUGUCAAUGAUGGAACAGAA